UGUUUGGUACCAGGGUAUUUGCAGGGAUGGGAGAGUAUUAUCCUGGCCCAUUUCCCAAACCCCGCUAAUCCCCGAAAGCCCAUUUGGUAGAGGAGUUUUGGGCCAAAAAAUCCCCGCCUAUCCCCGAUUAACCCCGUCCCCGAACUAUUUUUUGCCUUGGGCCGAAUCCCGGACCUGGACCUCGCGUAUUAUCCCCGUCCCCGACUCCAAGUCUUCGUCUCCAAACCCUAUCGAACGACCGGCGGCGAGCGACCGGAGGCAAGCGACCGGCGGCGAGCGACCGGAGGCGAGCGGAGCCGCUGCGGGAGAGGCGGAGCAUCUUGCCGGCGAGAGGGGCGGAGCAUCUUAGCGGCGGGAGAGGAUGGAUCCCGCCUAGCCGCUCCCACAUCAGGUCGCCGCCGUUCUUGCAGUCUGACCGGCGCCGCCACUACUGCUGUUUCGAUCUCCGGGAGCAGGUCAGCAAGCUUGGGUUUGGAGUCGGCGCCACCGUCUCGAGCAAGGGUUGGGCUUGAGCUGGGCGACGGGAGCACGCACCUGGUUCGAGACAGUGCACUAGCUUGGCUUAAUGGUGAGAUGGCCAUGUUACCAUGAGCUGACGAUACAUGGAUGUUUUUUGAAGAUCACAUGAACAAAAUGAACAGAGUUUCCAAGAGUUUCCAAAAUGAACAGAGUCUCCUAAUUUAUGCCGAACCGUUGCGCAUUACGUGACUGAAAAUUUGUGUUUUAAUUCCUGAUGCAUGUUGGAUGUUUACUAUACAGACUUGGGUUAAAUUGUUGCCAUAAAAAUUGAAUCUUUUGUAACUUACGCUGAAAUAUCUCCAUUGUUUCU